UUUUUUUUUUUUUUUUGGGAGCCGGAGAUUUGCUGUUGUUGCCCAGGCUGGCGGCUCCCCUCCAUUGUGCAAUGAUGCAACCUCUGCUCACUACAACCUCCACCUCUAGGCUUCAAGCAAUUCUCCUGCCUCAGCCUCCUAAGUAGCUGGAAUUACAGAGACUGGGUUCUUCCAAACUGUCCAGGUUGGUCUUGAACUCCUGGGGUGAAGCGAUCCUCCCACCUGGGCCUCCCAAAGUGCUGGGAGGCCUGAGCCACUGUGACUACCUGAUAUGUCUCUUCUCUCUUGCUGCUUUCAAAAUCCUGUCUUUUGUGGGAGGGCAGCCGCCGGGCCCUGGACUUCUAUGGGGUCAUCCACUGAGGACAGGAGGACCGGGCCCUGUACAGGCUCUAGUACCAAUCCUGGCUCUUUGCCCCAGGAGCAAAUUAAAAGGCAGCUUCGAUUUUCAACCAUGGAUCUGAUGACUUUCAACAAACCUUCCUGAGAAAAUGCUGUUCCCACCAGAAGAGAUCUCAGGACAAAUGUAGACAGCCCUG
rnacentral:antisense_RNA from 1 species